GACUUUCCUGGGCAACAGUUGACAGGUCUCUUAACAGAGGAAAUGCACAGGCUGCCAGAGAAUAACGCUUUGGUCACGGAACUAGAGAUCCAAAAGAUUAAAUGGAGUUAAGUCCCAAGAAGAAGGAACCUUUCAGAAGGAUUUCCAGUCUGACAUUGAGGUCAAGAGAUCAUAGACCUAACUGUUUCUCCUGUUCUGAGAACUUCAAGUCACUGUGUCACCUGGAAAGCCCAGGUGAGUGAGCCAGCAAUGCUGCCAAUGACCAGGAGCCUGUUUAUUCCCUGCUUCUGAAGGCACACUGGGUCCUGUAGCCCCUUCCAUUGGAGAGUGCGCUUGGCCCGUCUCUGCAGAGUCCUUCAGCUCAGCCCCGGGUGGGCAGCCCGGGCACCACCAGGCAAGGCUGCUCUCAACAACCCAAACUCACACUCGGGUUCUGCUGUCCCACGGAGGAUGAGUCAGCGCUUUCCGUGAUAAUGAAAAUUGAUGGAUACUUAUCUGUUUGUGGUGCAGAAACUUUCACGCCUGUGCUGCAGGAAUAGAGGCAGAUGGCAGUGGUGCAGGAGGGCCGAUGCAAGCCUUUGGGGCAGGCUGCCUGGCCAGGAGAGGGGCCCUGGCCCUAACAGAUUGGCUUUGAAUCCUGGCUCUGCCCUUUUACAGACUAAAACCUGAAAAUGAGUCAACUGCUCUAAACUUUGGCUUUACUCAUCUGUAAAAUUAUAGUGAUUGUUGGUGGCUAGUGUGUCACCCAAAAGAUAUGUCAAUAUGGCCUUAUUUGGAAAUAGAGUCUUUGCAGAUAUAAUGAAUAUGUAAAUUAAGAUAAAUCGUACUGGACUACAGUGGGCCUUAAAUCGAAUGACUAGUAACCUCAUGAGAAGACGAGAGGACACACAGGGAAGAAGGGGGCAGAGAUCGAAGUGAUGCGUCUGUAAACAAGGAAUGCCAAGAAUGGCCGGCAUUACCAGAAGCUGGAGGAAGCAAGGAAGGAUACUUCCCUGAGCCUUCAGAGGGAGUGUGGCCCUGCUGACACCUUCAUUUAGGACUUCUCGCCUCCAGAACUGUGAAAGAAUAAACCUCUGUUCUUGUAAGCCACCCCGUGGAGGAUCCUUUGUUAUGGCAGCCCAGAGAAACUCAUUCAGUGAUGAAACCUAGUUCACAGGCUGGUUGUGAGGAUUAAGUGAGAUUACAUAAGUAAAUGCUUAUUAAGUAUUAAAUGUCAUCCCUUUUUUUCCUCUUCCCCAGAGACUGGAAAUAUAAAUGAAUCCAGGAAAGGUUUUGAUAGCCCUGCUGUCACCUGAGAACUCAAAGGGGCGAGCUCCUGGGCUUUGAUUAAUUUGAUUUAAAAUGCACAGCCAAACGACGCACGGCUGCGGGCUGUGUCCCUCCUACAUCUUGCCUUACAGGAAAGAUUCCGGGUCUGAGCUGGUGACUGGAUGCUUCCACUGGUCCAAGUCCCAGCCGGCUUGGCCCUGGGAAAUUUGAUGAUGAGCAGAAAGAAGCUGCCAAGCUGACUGUCCUGAUGUGUGAUGGCAUAGGGACCUGGAGCCAGUCACCUCCCGGGCCUGCAGUGCCUGGCCUGUAAGAUGAGGCUAUAGGCCAGAUGAUUUCCAGGCCCCUUCCAGCUCUGCCUACUCAAAUUCUAAGAUUUGGGGGUCCAGGAACCCCUAAAGACCAGCCUCCAAUGUGGUAGCAACUUAAAAAUUGUGCUGUUUCAACAAGAACAUCUCAGAACAUUAAUUAUAUUUGACAAUUCUACUAAAUCUUCUAUACUUGUGAAGUACUCAUUUGCUGAAAACCAUUUACUCCAUUUGUCAAAGACUAAUUGACCUUGAGGCUCUGAUCUACUGGAAGAGAAGUUAAGUGUUUGACUCUGAUCGAGGGAGGUGGCCCUCGGAAAAGCCUUCUCUCUUCCUUCUGUAGGCACAGCCUGCAGCUCUGUGUUCCGGAAGUCAAGCACUAGAAACCUGUCUGAGUGGCUGGGGCCUCGAGCCCGUUUGAGCAAAACCCUGGAUUUGGAUGGGGAUCUGGCCCUCUGAGGAAAUAAGCAGCCUCCUGAUCUAAGACAAGGAAGAGUAGAGCCAGUGAAGUGGAGUCAAAGGCGACAGGUCACCGUGGAGAGAAGUAGUGAUUCUGAGCACUCCCCUGCACUAAGCCUGGGGUCCCAGGGCCAGGGCGCCUGUUAUGGGCUAAAUUGUUUCCCCCUCCCCCCAAAAUUUAUGUGUUGAGGUCCUAACCCGCAGUACCUCAGAAUGUGACCAUAUUUGCAGUAGAAUGGGCCAUAAUCCAAUGUGAUUGUGUCCUUAUAAAAAGGGGAACUUUGGAGAUACACACACACAGGGAGAAAGCCACGUGAACAUGAAGGCAGAGACCAGGGUGAUGCUUCUACAAGCCAAGCAAUGUCAAAGAUUGUCAGCAAACCCCCAGAGGCUGGAGGGAGGCCUGGGACACAUUCUCCCUCACAGCCCUCGAAGGAACCAAUACGGCUGCCACCUUCAUCUCAAACUUCUGGCCUCCAGAACUGUGAGAGAAGACAUUCCUGUGGUUUAUGCUGCCCAGUCUGUGGUUCUCUGUUACGGCAGCUGCAGGAAGCAGAUACGGCACCAUCCCAAUCAUGAAGAGUGUGGAUCACAGGAGCUCUGGCCAGACUGGGCCAGCCCACCUGGGGCAACGGGAGGACUAGGUCGGCUAGGGGCGUGACGGCCGGUCACGCGCGGGCUCUGAGCCCUCUUGCAACCACAGGACCAGAUGGGAUGGUGACUUCUCCAGCAAGUCCCAGCAAGAGCCACAGCCUUGUGGCUCCAGCAACAAAACUGCUGCUUUGAGGCAGUAGCAGCCGUGGAAGGGACCCCCAGGAGGCAAACACAGGCGGCUGUGGUGCUGAGCGCUGGCUGGGUUCAGGCCCAGGCCCUGCCCCGCCCUGGCCGCUGCUGCGUUCCUCCAUCCAUUCUGUCAAAGGGGGUUGUUGUGAGUGGUGUUGAUAUAAAGCAUCUGACAUAACGCCCCACACAUUGUGUAAAGUCACGACAAAUGCUUUUCCAAACUUUCGACGCUAUGGGACAGCCAAGGGCAAGUGAGAGACCCCGCGCGUGGCAGGAAUCUGAAUCAGGGGCAAGGAAGCCACCUGUUCAAAAGGGGGCUGGAGGAUAGGGUAGGCAGAACACCCGAGAAACGCUGAGCCCACAGCUGGCACUCCUGGGACAAACGGGUCACACUGCCAUCCACGCAGCAGGAAGGGCUCCUGUCCAAACCUUUGCUUCAGGGACUCUGAAUUUUUAGCUUUUACUUUAAAUCAGUAUUUUUGCAUGAACUUCACAGUCAUCGGAUUAAAGGACAUUCAAGAGUCAUCUGUGUGGUCUCCCAAAUUUUGAGAGAAAAGUAUCCAAUUUAUUUUAAAAUGCAAACAUCCAAGCAUAAAAGGUGCUAGUGAAAGCAAACUAACGUAUCAAGGAGUAAUUGUACUUUGUUAUAACUGAACACUCAAGUAACCAACGGUGAAAGAAGAAAACAUUUCUCUUGUGAACAAGAGUUGUGAGCGUGAUGUACUGUUCAGUCGUUGAAAUUCAGACAACAGACAGAACUGGAAAUGGGGCGCCUGAGCUCGAUGGAUUUCAUGCAUUGCUGAGGGGAAAGAGUCCCUAUAUCGAGGGUCUUUUUAAAAUAAAAAGUACACCCAAAAUAAGUUGGAGUUUUAGAUCCCUUUAAACUUUGAAAUGGUUUGAUCAAAUAUCAGUCUGAGAAGAAUGUGAGCAUGAAUCUAUAUACCAGGAAAAAAGUCAAGUACAUUCUGAGAAUAUCUCUAAAAGUAAACUAUCCAAGAAAGAUAAGUUUAACAUUUCCUUACACAUUUUCAGAAAGCAAUCAAUUCAUCUUAAAAUGUAAUUUAAUAGUUGAGGAAUAUAAAAAUAUAUGUUUUUGCAAAUGACAGGAUUUCCUUCUUUUUCAUGGCUGAAUAAUAUUCCAUUGUGUGUGUAUACCACGUUUUCUCCAUCCAUUCAUCCAUCGACAGACACUUAGAUUGGUUCCACAUCUUGGCUAUUGUGAAUGAUGCUGCGAUGAACAUGGGAGUGCAGAUAUGGCUUCCAUAUCCCGUUUUCGUUUCCUUUGAGUAUAUACCCAAAAGUGGAAUUGCUGGAUCAUAUGAUAGUUCUAGUUAGCUCUAGUGGUCUAGAUUCAAAGCUCUCACGGCCACAGCCCAGGUUUGUUUCCCAGUCAGGGAACCACACCACCAUCUGUCAGUUUCAUGCUAUUUGUUGUUGUGAUGCUGAAAGCUCUGCCACUAAGACUUUAAACACCAGCAGAAUCACCCAUGGUGGACAGGCUUCAGCAGAGCUUCCAGACUAACACAGACUAGGAAGAAGGACCUGCCCACCCACCUCCAAAAAGAAAAGACUGGCCAUGAAAACCCUGUGAAUAACAAAGGAGCAUUGUCUGUUAUAGAGCUGGAAGGUGACAAGGCGGGACAAAAAGACCAGGCAGGGCUCCGCUCUGCUGUUCACAGGGUCUCUAGGAGUCACGAUUGACUGACAGCACUAACAACAGCAACAAUGGUAGUUCUCUUGUU